AUUAUGUUUAUGUGUAUUGAAGCAUUUAUCAAACAAGAUAUUAGUCUAAAUAAGAUCACUUCACGCAAAAAGAUGGGAAGA